GACGAACGCUGGCGGCGUGCUUAACACAUGCAAGUCGAACGGAGAGGCCAUGCUUUUGUGGGGUGCUCGAGUGGCGAACGGGUGAGUAACACGUGAGUAACCUGCCCUUGACUUUGGGAUAACUUCAGGAAACUGGGGCUAAUACCGGAUAGGAGCUCCUGCUGCAUGGUGGGGGUUGGAAAGUUUCGGCGGUUGGGGAUGGACUCGCGGCUUAUCAGCUUGUUGGUGGGGUAGUGGCUUACCAAGGCUUUGACGGGUAGCCGGCCUGAGAGGGUGACCGGCCACAUUGGGACUGAGAUACGGCCCAGACUCCUACGGGAGGCAGCAGUGGGGAAUAUUGCACAAUGGGCGGAAGCCUGAUGCAGCAACGCCGCGUGCGGGAUGACGGCCUUCGGGUUGUAAACCGCUUUCGCCUGUGACGAAGCGUGAGUGACGGUAAUGGGUAAAGAAGCACCGGCUAACUACGUG
rnacentral:rRNA from 1 species